CCUACGGGAGGCAGCAGUAGGGAAUUUUCGGCAAUGGGGGGAACCCUGACCGAGCAACGCCGCGUGAACGAAGAAGUUAUUCGUAAUGUAAAGUUCUUUUAACAGGGAAGAAAGAGAAAUUUGACGGUACCUGAAGAAUAAGCUCCGGCUAACUACGUGCCAGCAGCCGCGGUAAUACGUAGGGAGCGAGCGUUAUCCGGAAUUAUUGGGCGUAAAGGGUGCGUAGGCGGUCGGAUAAGUUAGAGGUGAAAUCCCGAGGCUCAACUUCGGAAUUGCCUCUGAUACUGUUCGGCUAGAGAGUAGUUGCGGUAGGCGGAAUGUAUGGUGUAGAGGUGAAAUUCGUAGAUAUUGGGUAGAACACCAGUGGCGAAGGCGACUAUCUGGCUGUACAUUGACGCUGAGGCUCGAAAGCAUGGGGAGCAAACAGGAUUAGAUACCCUUGUAGUC
rnacentral:rRNA from 1 species